rfam:Trichomalopsis sarcophagae strain Alberta scaffold4396, whole genome shotgun sequence.
UAAUCGGCCCUUUUCAGGGCCACCAUAUAUAUUAUAUACGUGGAAC